rnacentral:lncRNA from 1 species
UCUCGCUGCAUUUACUGCUCCUCCCAGCAGCAUCGACACUCACAGCUGAAAGGAAGAACUGAAACGACAGUGCUCUGUACGACUCAUAAUCCAUGCCAUUUAGGACGUAUGCAGAAAACGCCCACUCCCUCUGCUACUCAUCUGCACUGGAAAAAGCUGGGACCAUGGUUGUCGUGUGAAAACGGAUCUGUGUGACUCGGAUUGGAAGGACGGACAGAGCCAAGAAAAGCCUGUUUCAGGUGUCAGCUGGUAAAGCACGUGGGUGUGUGAGUGUGUGUGUGUGUGUGAGUGAGUGAGUGUGUGUGUGUGUGUGCGUGCGUGCGUGCAGGCAGGCAGGCACUUGUGUUUUCCCAGCCCAGUCAAGAUUUGGAGCGGAGUGUAGCCUGAACGCAUCACAGAAGGACAAUGAGCGAGCUGGAACAGUUGCGGCAGGAAGCCGAGCAACUACGCAAUCAGAUCCGGGUACGGCAACA